rnacentral:tRNA from 1 species
GGGCCGGUAGUUCAGCUGGUACGAACGCCCGACUUGCACUCGGGAGGUCGGGGGUUCAAAUCCCCCCCGGUCCACCA